rnacentral:rRNA from 1 species
UACGUAGGGUGCAAGCGUUGUCCGGAAUUAUUGGGCGUAAAGAGCUCGUAGGCGGUCUGUCGCGUCGGCUGUGAAAACCCGGAGCUCAACUCCGGGCCUGCAGUCGAUACGGGCAGACUGGAGUUCGGCAGGGGAGACUGGAAUUCCUGGUGUAGCGGUGAAAUGCGCAGAUAUCGGGAAGAACACCCGUGGCGAAGGCGGCACUCUGGGACGGUACUGACGCUGAGACGCGAAAGCGUGGGGAGCAAACAGG